rnacentral:lncRNA from 1 species
GCUCGCCGUCCCUCUGUACAGGUAUUCCUCCUCCAUCCCCAUCUUCAAGAUGCGAGAACUUGCCUCCACUCCGGCAUCGACGAAAGGGCGCACGCGGACAUCGACGGCCGCUCUCCGACGACCCCUUGGUCGCUACGUCUAUCGCCCAUUAUCGGCUCCUGUACAGGGUCUCUAUGCCUUUUCUAGUGAGCCUGCCGGAGGCCAAGAAGAAUGACCUGUUCGUUCACCUCGGACACGUCGUCGUUAAGUACAAGCUCAUCUGGUGGAUGCUCUGUUCGUCCUCGAUGCUUGAAAUGUGAGUUUUUUCCCGUUAACAGUGCCAAAAUGUUACUCAUUUUGAUAUUUGCAGUCCCCCUUUGCUUCAGUGAUUAAGUUUAUUUUUUGUACCAAAGUUGUGUUGAUCUGCAUUUCUCUCCUAGUUGUUUGAUUUAUAUUGUACAAGCUUGAUUUUUCCUACUGCAGUUCAACAAUCUCACGAAUGCCAAUAUGGUAGUAAAAACAAAAAACUAACAAAUUACGAAUGUGACUAAUCUUUUGGAAAGGAUUGUCUAUACAGAAGUAAACACGCAAUUGCUACAAAUCUGGUACUUCAAUUUCGAGGUUGCACUCGUUUCCUCAAAGCAUGAACAAUUGCUACUAAUCUAUGCGACUAAUCUCUAGUUUCUGAUUAUUGACCUUACCUGCACGAUGAUGAAGUUGCAGAUUGAAUGCCUAUGAUGCAAAGAAGUGGACGAAGGGAGCCUUGUCUUCCAGCAGGGGUCAGCAACCGGCGAUCCGUGAUCUUAGCCUACCGCCGACGGCCAGGGCGAUCACAACAGGUGGUGGCGGCCAGCCAUGGAGGAACAACAAAAGCUAGGUGCCAGAUUGGUUUGGCCUUAUUUGGAUUACCAGCAUCAGGUAUAUAUAGAAGGGAUGAAAAAAUAGGCGUGGUGGCAAGGUAGAAUUGGCGCCAGGAGGUGGCAGCGGCAGCGUAGAAUUGGCGCCAGGAGGUCGCAGCGGCAGCGUAGAAUUGGCGCUAAUGAGUUUGUUGAGG